rnacentral:rRNA from 1 species
AUUGAACGCUGGCGGCAUGCUUUACACAUGCAAGUCGAACGGCAGCGCGGGCUUCGGCCUGGUGGCGCGUGGCGAACGGGUGAGUAAUACAUCGGAACGUGCCCAGUAGUGGGGGAUAGCACGGCGAAAGGCGGAUUAAUACCGCAUACGACAAGAUGGAGAAAGGGGGGGUUCUUCGGACCUCGCGCUAUUUACUAUGCCGAUGGCAGAUUAGCUAGUUGGUGGGGUAAAGGCCUACCAAGGCGACGAUCUGUAGCUGGUCUGAGAGGACGACCAGCCACACUGGGACUGAGACACGGCCCAGACUCCUACGGGAGGCAGCAGUGGGGAAUUUUGGACAAAGGGCGAAAGCCUGAUCCAGCAAUGCCGCGUGUGUGAUGAAGGCCUUCGGGUUGUAAAGCACUUUUGGCGGGAACGAAAAGGACUGUGCCAAUACCACGAUUCGAUGACGGUACCCGAAGAAUAAGCACCGGCUAACUACGUG